rnacentral:rRNA from 1 species
UACGAAGGGGGCUAGCGUUGCUCGGCAUCACUGGGCGUAAAGCGCACGUAGGCGGACUCUUAAGUCGGUGGUGAAAUCCUGGAGCUCAACUCCAGAACUGCCUUCGAUACUGAGAGUCUCGAGUCCGAGAGAGGUGAGUGGAACUGCGAGUGUAGAGGUGAAAUUCGUAGAUAUUCGCAAGAACACCAGUGGCGAAGGCGGCUCACUGGCUCGGUACUGACGCUGAGGUGCGAAAGCGUGGGGAGCAAACAGG